AACGCGAAGAACCUUACCUGAUCUUGACAUCCCGAUGACCGCUUCGUAAUGGAAGCUUUUCUUCGGAACAUCGGUGACAGGUGGUGCAUGGUUGUCGUCAGCUCGUGUCGUGAGAUGUUGGGUUAAGUCCCGCAACGAGCGCAACCCCUAUCUUCAGUAGCCAGCAGGUUAAGCUGGGCACUCUGGAGAGACUGCCAGGGAUAACCUGGAGGAAGGUGGGGAUGACGUCAAAUCAUCAUGCCCCUUAUGACCAGGGCUACACACGUGCUACAAUGGCGUAAACAAAGAGAAGCGAACUCGCGAGGGUAAGCAAAUCUCAAAAAUAACGUCUCAGUUCGGAUUGUAGUCUGCAACUCGACUACAUGAAGCUGGAAUC
rnacentral:rRNA from 1 species